CCUCCUCCUGCGUUGCGCGGAGUAACUUCAGCGUCCCCGAAGGCCACCUCUCUGGCCUCGGCCAGGGGCCGAAGCGGGGUCCGCUGCGCAGGAGGCGGCAACUUUGGCUGAUGCUGACUCAGCCCAGCGCCCCCUCUUUAUCCCACUUAAAAACGGAGAAAUGGCCUCCGAGAGGAAGAAGUGAAACAGAACGCUCUAUCCUUCUGAUCUUCACUCAAAAGCAGCCGCAGGAGCUCUUGCUAUCUCGCUCUGGUGCAGCGUUUUUCCCUCCUCCCCCACUUUCCCACAUGCCCAGAGGCAAAGUGGCUGGCCAACGUCUGAGGAGGAAAGAAGUCGCUGGGUGCCACCCUCUCCAUCUCACCAAACUACAAAAGUGAAGAAGCCACUGGGAGCCACUCGCUCUCACUCGCCAAAUCAUGGGAUUAAAGAAGCUGCAACAUUUCUGGGGGCUCGUCCAGGUCCUCAGAAGGAUGGGUAACAAACUGUUUUCAGCCUGCACUCCUCUAGAGUGCAUCCUGAAUCACUGGGAAUCCUUUGACCUGCAGAUUCUGAAGGAAACAAAUGCCAUAUAUUCCUUUUCACAAGGCCUUGGCCAGGUUAUAAGCAGCAGGACGGAGAAGCCUGGCCUUUGGAGGGAAGUAUCAACAUUAAUAUUAUCCUGCAACUGGACCAUUUCUGUAAAAAUGGAGGCAAAUGGUCUCAGGCCCCAUACAUGCAGGCUUUCUUUGCCUUGCAGUAUAAUCUGGACUUUUGCUGAUGUUGCAGGAGAAGCUGCAAAGAACAGUCCCAACUGGCCAGGGAAGUAAACCCCAGAGGUGCCUCCAUCAGGGGGAUCAGAACCCUCCAGUCCCUACUCCUCUUGGUCCAUCAUGUCCUCCCUAUCCAGGUUCUCUCCCAAGCUUGUCCUCUCCUAGGAAUUCUCAUUCUAGGCAGGUCCCAACCUCACUCAUGCCCCAACAAGAGAUGCCUUGUGAAUAUGACCCCAUUAAGGUCCAGAUCACCUUUUCUUUACAUGACUUAAGACAAAUUAAGGGGAAUUUUGUUAGUUUUCAGAUGACCCUAAAAGGCAUAUAGAGGCUUUCCAAAAUUUAACCCAAGCAUUUGAACUCUCCUGGAAGGAUGCUGUUAUUUUUUAAAUC
rnacentral:lncRNA from 13 species